AGGAUAAACGCUGGCGGCGUGCCUAACACAUGCGAGUCGAACGUCCUACGCAAGUAGGGAGUGGCGGACGGGUGAGUAACACGUGGGCAAUCUACCUUUCGGUGAGGAAUACCGGCGAGAAAUCGCCGACAAUACCGCAUACGCUUCGCAAGAAGCAAAGUCGCAAGACGCCGGAGGAGGAGCCUGCGCCCGAUUAGCUGGUUGGUGAGGUAAAAGCCCACCAAGGCGUCGAUCGGUAGCUGGUCUGAGAGGAUGAUCAGCCACACUGGGAUUGAGAACGGCCCAGACUCCUACGGGGGGCAGCAGUGAGGAAUUUUCGUCAAUGGGGGAAACCCUGAACGAGCAACGCCGCGUGCAGGAUGACGCUUCUCGGAGUGUAAACUGCUUUUCUCGGGGAAGAGAACGGACGGUACCCGAGGAAUCACGCCCCGGCUAACUACGUGCCAGCAGCCGC
rnacentral:rRNA from 1 species